rnacentral:pre_miRNA from 1 species
AUUGGAAUAUCUAAAUAUUAUGGUAAGUGUACAUAUAACUUUUUAAGAAAUUGUCAAACUUUUUUCCAAAGUGACUACCAUUUUACAUUUCUGCUAGUAGU